UACGUAGGGGGCAAGCGUUGUCCGGAUUUACUGGGCGUAAAGAGCGUGUAGGCGGCCACGCAGGUCCGUUGUGAAAACUGGAGGCUCAACCUCCAGCUGUCGACGGAAACCGUAUGGCUAGAGUCCGGAAGAGGAGAGUGGAAUUCCUGGUGUAGCGGUGAAAUGCGCAGAUAUCAGAAGGAACGCCGGUGGCGAAAGCGACGCACUGGAUCUCUACUGACGCUGAGGCGCGAAAGCUAGGGGAGCGAACGGG
rnacentral:rRNA from 1 species